ensembl:snoRNA
UGUACUUAAGCAUGUUUUUGUUUAACUCGUGGACAAAGACUUAUGGAUAGGUGGAAAAAAUAAAUCUUCUUUUGCAACCCAGGAUUCAUUGUUCAGUAUGAUUUUUGAUAUAUGUAAGAAGGGACAUU